GAUGAACGCUAGCGGCAGGCUUAAUACAUGCAAGUCGAGGGACAGCACAGGUAGCAAUACUGGGUGGUAACCGGCAAACGGGUGCGGAACACGUACACAACCUUCCUUUAAGUGGGGGAUAGCCCAGAGAAAUUUGGAUUAAUACCCCGUAAUAUAGUUGAAUGGCAUCAUUUGAUUAUUAUAGCUACGGCGCUUAAUGAUGGGUGUGCGGCUGAUUAGAUAGUUGGCGGGGUAACGGCCCACCAAGUCUACGAUCAGUAGCUGAUGUGAGAGGAUGAUCAGCCACACGGGCACUGAGACACGGGCCCGACCCCUACGGGAGGCAGCAGUAAGGAAUAUUGGUCAAUGGACGCAAGUCUGAACCAGCCAUGCCGCGUGAAGGAUUAAGGUCCUCUGGAUUGUAAACUUCUUUUAUUUGGGACGAAAAAGGGCCUUUCUAGGUCAACUGACGGUACCAGAUGAAUAAGCACCGGCUAACUCCGUGCCAGCCGCCGCGGUAAGAC
rnacentral:rRNA from 1 species